AUUGAACGCUGGCGGCAGGCCUAACACAUGCAAGUCGAGCGAGAAAGACCUUCGGGCUGAGUAGAGCGGCGGACGGGUGUGUAACGCGUAGGAAGCUACCCGGUAGCGGGGGAUAACUCGGGGAAACUCGAGCUAAUACCGCAUACGCCCUGAGGGGGAAAGCGGGGGACCGUAAGGCCUCGCACUAUCGGAUGCGCCUGCGUCGGAUUAGCUGGUUGGUAGGGUAACGGCCUACCAAGGCGACGAUCCGUAGCUGGUCUGAGAGGAUGAUCAGCCACACUGGGACUGAGACACGGCCCAGACUCCUACGGGAGGCAGCAGUGGGGAAUAUUGGACAAUGGGGGCAACCCUGAUCCAGCCAUGCCGCGUGUGUGAAGAAGGCCUUCGGGUUGUAAAGCACUUUCAGCGGGGAGGAAAGGGCGCUGGUUAACACCCGGCGCAGUUGACGCUACCCGCAGAAGAAGCACCGGCUAACUCCGUGCCAGCCGCCGCGGUAA
rnacentral:rRNA from 1 species